AACGUAGGUUCCGAGCGUUAUCCGGAUUUACUGGGCGUAAAGCGCGUUCAGGCGGUUUGGCAAGUCGGGCAUGAAAUCCUUCGGCUCAACCGGGGGAGGUUGUCCGAUACUGCUGAACUGGAGGGCAGUAGAGGGUGGUGGAAUUCCGGGUGUAGUGGUGAAAUGCGUAGAGAUCCGGAGGAACACCAGUGGCGAAAGCGGCCCCCUGGACUGCAACUGACGCUGAAACGCGAAAGCUAGGGGAGCGAACGGG
rnacentral:rRNA from 1 species